AAUGAACGCUGGCGGCAGGCCUAACACAUGCAAGUCGAGCGCCCCGCAAGGGGAGCGGCAAACGGGUGAGGAACACGUGGGAAUCUACCAAAUAGUUCGGAAUAGCCUCGGGAAACUGGGAGUAAUACCGGAUACGCUCUACGGAGGAAAGAUUUAUCGCUAUUUGAUGAGCCCGCGUCUGAUUAGCUAGUUGGUGGGGUAAUGGCUCACCAAGGCGACGAUCAGUAGCUGGUUUGAGAGGAUGAUCAGCCACACUGGGACUGAGAUACGGCCCAGACUCCUACGGGAGGCAGCAGUGAGGAAUAUUGGACAAUGGGCGAAAGCCUGAUCCAGCCAUGCCGCGUGUGUGAUGAAGGCCUUCGGGUUGUAAAGCACUUUGAGUGGGGAAGAUAAUGACGGUACCCACAAAACAAGCCCCGGCUAACUCCGUGCCAGCAGCCGCCGUAA
rnacentral:rRNA from 1 species